rnacentral:rRNA from 1 species
GCUUGUCUCAAAGAUUAAGCCAUGCAUGUCUAAGUAUAAACUGCUUAUACUGUGAAACUGCGAAUGGCUCAUUAAAUCAGUUAUAGUUUAUUUGAUGGUACCUCUACUCGGAUAACCGUAGUAAUUCUAGAGCUAAUACGUGCGUAAAUCCCGACUUCUGGAAGGGACGUAUUUAUUAGAUAAAAGGCCAGCCGUCUCACGACGACCUGCGUUGACUCAUGAUAACUUAACGAAUCGCAUGGCCUUGCGCCGGCGAUGGUUCAUUCAAAUUUCUGCCCUAUCAACUUUCGAUGGUAGGAUAGUGGCCUACCAUGGUGGCAACGGGUAACGGGGAAUUAGGGUUCGAUUCCGGAGAGGGAGCCUGAGAAACGGCUACCACAUCCAAGGAAGGCAGCAGG